rnacentral:lncRNA from 1 species
UUUAUAUUAAAAUAUUAGGGUUUCAUUCAUUUUUUUAUAACACCAUAUAUGGGAGAAGAAGAAGAAGAAGAAGAAUUAGAAGAAAACUAAAAGGAGAUUUGGAUUUUUAUGCUUAUACAAGUGAGUAGACGUUUCUUUGUUAUUGUUUCUAUUUCUGUUUUCUGAAAUUUCAGAUUGUUGACUCAUCUUUGAAAAAUCAUAGAAAAUUCGUUUGAAAAGCUUUUUAAUUGAUUCCAAAAACCCUGAACACUAUAUUGAAAUGUCUUCGUUCGAUUAGUUAAUACCAAUUUACGAAAGUUAUGUUAAUAGGGUAAAAAACGACUUGCAAGUAUGACAACCGUUGCAGUUUAUAGUUUCUGUACCAUUUUAGUAUUGUAAGGUUUUGAUCCCUCUAGAAUUAAUAAUAUUUACUGAAAAUUUUAAGAUAGUUAGAUUACUCAAUGUUUAACAACAUAUAUAAAUUUCAGAAUUUACUGUGGUGUAAUUAAUUCUAAAUAAUUUAUUCAACGUAGUUAUUUUCAGAUAUCUAGUAUAAUUUUACUGCUACCUUUCUGUUUGCGUGGCUGUCAUAAAAAAAUCAUAGAAGACUCGUUACUCAACAUAUCUUGAUGAAUUUACUUGUUUUAGAAAAUAGACCUUCUGAACUAUAAUUUCUAUGUUUAGAAAUACUUUAAAUUAUGAGGGUAAUACGGUGAAAAAUGGUCAGGAAGUCUGACGUAGAUUGUUUUGGGAUUUCUUUCUGAAAUCUGGUAGGAUUGAGUAAAACAAUUGUUUAAUUAUUUUCUAUAUAUUGAAACUAUUCCAGAUUUUUAUGCGAAGUAAUAUUUUCAUAGUAAAAGGUUGUAUUAAAAUUUUAUGAGAUUUGAGUAAUUAUUUUUAGAUGUGUGAAUUUGAAAGAUGAAUGUUAUUGUUUGGCAGAUUUAUGUAAAGAGUUUCUUUUUAGCAUAUAUGUUUUUCUUUGGGUUUGUCCUUUUGUUUGAUUGUCAAGUUGAAAUAGACACAACUAAAAGUAAUCUAAAUAUGGAAGUGGAUUAGUAUAUAAUGGCAUGUUAAUUGAUUAAUUAUGUUUAAAGUAACCUAGAAAGUUAUAUUGAUGAACGCCUAGAUAUGGCUCCAUACCAAUGGAUGGUAUAUGAAUAGAGAAACGAAAUGAGUACUGGACUUGAGAUUUAAUUAUAAAUGAUUUGGAAUGGUUUGAUACCAUGGACGGUAUAUAUUCGAUUUGAAAAAAAAGAACGGAAUACGAAAUGGACUUGAAAUUUAAUUGUUGGACAAGGGUUGUGUGAUUGCUUGAUUAGUUUAGUUGUUUGGUAGUCGCCCAAGCAUUAGUACAUUUGUCACACCUCUGGACUUAGGUUAAAGAAAUUAAUUAUCACCCUAGACGGCUUAGCCUGCGGGUUGACUCUUUGAUUAUAUUUGGGUAUUUCCUAGACGGCUUAGCCUGCGGAACUGACCCUUCAGACCUUCAUAGCCUUCGGGGUUGGUUUGGGCGCCACAUUAGAAAGCUCAAGGGAGCUAUUAGAGAUCAUGAGUUAGGCAUACGUCGAGGUUAGCCAAAACUUGCAGGUGAGCACCCACUUGGGUUUUGGUUUCCGCAUAGAGGUUCUUAACCAUGGUCAAGGCACACUGGUGCAGUGUGGGUAUGGCAAAUGUGUGGAGUGCAUCCUGUGGGAGGUGUACUAGUGAUUGGGCAUAGGUUGUGAUUUUAUGAUUAUUAAACCCGAGCACCGGCUAGAGGCCAGGACGAGAUUUUGUGAUUUUGGAUUCGUUGUUUGGUAGUGUGCUAAAGCUUAUGGUAUUGUAGUGCUUGGUGUUAAUUAAUGAUAUGGGUAAAUUUUAUUUACUUUGAUUAUGAACCAGAGGUAACUAUGAUUAUGUGGAAGAACUGUGAUGUUUUAUUUAUUAUGGGAAUUAAUAGUAAUAAUUGGACUUGUCAUUUUGGUAGAUUACAAACUAUGAAUAGUUGGAAUGAAUCAUUAUUAAUGGUUUGAAUGAACGAAAUGUAUUUUUAGGUUGAUACAAAGUAUUAGAUAACACGUAACGUGUAUGUGAUUUGGUUUAUCUUUAUUAUAUUUGUGUAUUAUAUAUUAACUCCAUUUUGCAGGUGGAUAGGUCAACUAAUUUAUUUUGUGCAGGUGGAUAGACCUAUCCUUAAAGACAGUUGCUGCUUAGGUAAUGUAUUUGUAUUAUCGAUCAAUUAACAUCGUAAAUAGAUAAAUUAGAAUUGAAUAAUGAAGUUAAGCAUGUGAUUAUAUAAUGGAUAAAUUGUUUAAAUAUAAUGGAAUUGAUAUGGUUUUUGGUGUAUGUUUAUUGUCUUAGCAUGGAAGAAUUGUUCUUGAAGGUUAAUUAUGUUGUUAAUCAUAUGUUGGAACUUUAUAUUUAUUAUGUUAUUUUGUGGGAAUAGAUUUCCCCGUUGUUUACUCAUACCGGCUUUUAUGCUGACCCAUGUUGCUUUGUUUUGCACGUCGGUGUGUUCCAUUUGGAAUGCAGGCAGGAGAGGUUAGAGCUAUGGAGCUGUGACAGACCGCUUGUUGUGACCAGUAGAGAUUUUUAGAUGUUCCAGUCAUGUAUUUUUUUGAAAGUGGUAUUCAUGUAUUUUGUUGGCGUAAGUUGUGUUGUAUAAUAGGAUGGAAUCAGGAGUACUUUUAUCGUUUGGAUUUUCUUUACUGUAUUUUAUUUAAGAUUUUUGUUGGACCUGGUUUUUGAGUUAGAAAUUGUUG